AGGAAUAGAAACUAACAAGGAUUCCCCUAGUAACUGCGAGUGAAGCGGGAAAAGCUCAAAUUUAAAAUCUGAGGGUCCUUGUGGCCUUCCGAGUUGUAAUCUAGAGAAGUGUUAUCCGCGCUGGACCGCGUACAAGUCUCCUGGAACGGAGCGUCAUAGAGGGUGAGAAUCCCGUCUUUGACACGGACUACCAGGGCUUAUGUGAUGCGCUCUCAAAGAGUCGAGUUGUUUGGGAAUGCAGCUCUAAAUGGGUGGUAAACUCCAUCUAAAGCUAAAUAUUGGCGAGAGACCGAUAGCGAACAAGUACCGUGAGGGAAAGAUGAAAAGGACUUUGGAAAGAGAGUUAAACAGUACGUGAAAUUGUUGAAAGGGAAACGCUUGAAGUCAGUCGCGUUGUCCAGAAAUCAACCUUGCUUUUGCUUGGUGUACUUUCUGGUUAACGGGUCAGCAUCAAUUUUGACCGGUGGAUAAAGGUCAGGGGAAUGUGGCAUCUUCGGAUGUGUUAUAGCCCUUGGUUGCAUACAUCGGUUGGGAUUGAGGAACUCAGCACGCCGCAAGGCCGGGUUUUUAACCACGUACGUGCUUAGGAUGCUGGCAUAAUGGCUUUAAUCGACCCGU
rnacentral:rRNA from 1 species